rnacentral:lncRNA from 1 species
CCGAUUCCAUAUUUGCAUUAGAAGUCAAAGUUUAAAAAAAAAAAAAGUGCGAAGAGAAAAAAAGACAGCCAAAAGUUACGGCCAUUUAACGGAUGGCGAGAAGUUACAACCGUCACAUACGAUAGGAAGAUACUUUCCCACUCAAUGUCACUUCUACUGCUGGCCAACCAAUAACCACGAUUAUGACAAUUAGAAUCACGUCCAAUAUCGCCAACUAUCACCAUCUCCUCCUCUCUCUCCAUCACACUACCACCCGCUAACUAUCCUCAAUCCCCUUAGCUGCUUCACUCAUCAGUUGCAUCUUUCACUCGAGUUGCUCUACCUGUCAAACGCCUCCAGUUGACUCAGACCGCAGUCGACUAUCCCGCCAGCAACAAAUCACCACGCAUGUGCUGUUGUUUCUAAAACUUGCCAUCUUGUUCAGUAAACUUCUUUAGAUGAUUGCCAUGGGAAUUUGUUGAACUAGAUCUAGAAUCUCUUAUGCUCUACUCGCAACUUGUUUUAUAUCUUGUAAGGCGAUUUGAAUCUGUGAGUAGAUUAUCUAGCAGUCCAGUUAUCAAUUAUAUUGGAAAUGGAAACUUGCAGCCUCAGUAGCUUGUUUUGAAUCACUUGAGGUAUAUUGCAUUUGGAAAGUUAUUUAGGUAUUUGUGACCCAUUAAACCUCAUAUUAUAAAAUAAAUAAAUGUAAUAUAAUAUCACAUACACUCCAUAUAACAAUUUUUACAUGAAUAACACGUCCAAAGGUCGCGAUCGACCUGUAGGAAUUAAUGGUCUUACUGGAUCCGAUUCAUUUCUUGAUUAGAUCGAGUCUCUUGAGCAAUUUUUUUAUUUUCACAACUUUAGUGACUCUCAUCGUCUUUGUCAUGCGAACAUGGUACUUAUCGAAUCUGCUAGGUGUUAGUAGAGUCCUCUUUGCCUGUUUGUCCUACAAGUUAUCUUGAUAAAGGAAACAACAGAAGAAGUACUUAAUACAUUCAAAGUGGGUUGCUUAAUGUACGCAUAUGAUGGUAUAUUUGACUUGAAGACUGAUAUAGUUUAAGCAAUUUUGCAUAAUUAGUCGGUUAUCUCUAAUAUAGGCAAAAAAUAGAAGAUAUAGUGAAAUGGAUUCUCAAGAAUGGCAAAUGUUGAGGUCGAUUGUUCUCUCCAUUUUCUUCUCUCUUUUCUCGCUCAUUUCUCUUCUUCUCUUCCCUUUCCCCUUCUCUAAUAACUAUUUCGUAAUAUCUUGCAUCAAUUUGGUUAAGAGCAAUUCGUCUUCUUUGUCCUACGAUCCAUAUAAUAUGUCGCAACCUUCCACCAUCCAUCCAAACCUUAUAGUUACUUUUGUACACAAAAAUCUUAGAACAGCACAAAAAGAAAAAUAUUCGUCUUAACACAAACCAAUUCUACAACAUAUACUUAUAUCAAUCACCCAUCAUCCAGACAUCCACUACUACCUGUUUCUACCUCGACCUGCACAAACUCCUUUACUUUCUGUCUAUGUUGGUGUUCUUCAAUUUUGGUAUUUGGAGUAGUAAGAUAUUUAGAUACAGAAAUCUAUGUAUAUAUUUGGCUUAUAAGAGAACUGAUUUCAAAUUGGAAAUUUCCAAAAGUUUGUGGUUAAUUGGACUUUCUUCCCUAAAAUUCUACCUCAACUAGUCUUCAAUAGUUUCAUCGAGCUUAUUGGUAAAUUAGUUUCUGCCUUUUGCUUUCUGUAUUUGCUCAAGAAAUAUUUAGAUUGUUGAUUGAAAAAAAUAAGAGUUAGAAAAAAGAAAGAAAAAUGGAGAGAGAGACAAAGAGACAGAAAAUAAAAUAAAAACUUGUGGUAGUUAGUGCAUUGUCGUUCCCAGCUGUUUCAAGUUCAAUCCCAAUAUUGUAAGCCAGUAAUAUCUGUAUAAACAGUCCACACUACAUAAAAUUAACCCCAUCCCAACGAUUCACAACCAUAAACCCAUUUAUCAAAGGGCAACUUACAAAAAUAUCCUUAAAAUUAAAUGUGUUUUGAAAAAUCAUAUGAAAAGUUUUUAGGAAGUAAAAAAUACUGUGUAAAAUGAAAAAGUGACACAAUGUCACUUUUUUAUAAAAAAAUUAUCACUUUUUUUUCACCAACUCAAAAAAGUGACAAAAUUUAAAAAAAAGUGACUUGAACACUAAAAAAGUUAUAUAAACUCAAAAAAAGUGACACAAACUUAAAAAAAGUAAUAAACACCAUAAUAGAACCAUCCAUUUAUGCAGCACUGAUAAUCAUGUUCUCAACAUAAUCAGCAUAUUCAGGACAAUUCACGUGAACAUAGUGGUGGUUCUUAACAUAAUCAACAUAUUCAUUGUCCACACGCUAAUUAUGUUAGAAAAAAUAUAACAUAUUAUGUCACUUUUUUUAUCUUCUUCAAAAAGUGACAAAUAUUAAAAAAAAGUGACAAAAACUUGACAAAAUACUCAAAAAAGUGACACAGUAUCACUUUUAAAAGUUUAGUGUCACUUUAUUAUUAAAAAAAUGACAUACAAUCUCACUUUUAUUAGAAAAUGAUGUUUGCCACUAAAAAUGUGAUAAAAAUUUCAAGAAAGCAACCAAAAAAAAAGAAGAAGCAAUGAACACUAAAAAAAAGUGACAAAAUAUCAAAAAAAGUGACAAAUACUAAAAAAAGAUGACAAAAAACUCAAAAAAGUGACAAUCUAAAAAAGUGACACAGUAUCACUUUUAAAAGUUUAGUGUCACUUUAUUAGUUAAAAAAUGACAUACAAUCUCACUUUUAUUACAAAAUGAUGUUUGCCACUAAAAAGGUGAUAAAAAUUUCAAGAAGGCAACCAAAAAAAAAAGGAAGAAGCAAGGAACACUUAAAAAAAAAAGUGACAAAAUUUCAAAAAAAGUGACAAAUACUAAAAAAAAGUGACAAAAUUUCAAAAAAGUGACAAAUUUUAAAAAAUGAAACGACAAACACUAAAAAAAAGUGACAAAUUAAAAAAAGAGAUAGAAAUCAAGAAGGUGACAAAUAUUUAAAAAGUGACAAAAUUCCAAAAAGUGAUGGAAAUUUUAAAAAAGUGACACAAUUUCUUUUAUAUGUUAUCUAAUUAUAUUUUACUUCUAUUAACUAACAUAUUGACUUGACUUUGGAAGACAAAAAUUCAAAAAAGUGACAAAUAAAUCAAAACAUUAUAAUAGAUCUAGUAGAUAGUUGAAUUUCUUUUGCAGAUUAUCUUUCCGUAAUUAUAUAUUUUACUUCUAUUAACUAACAUAUUAACUUAAAAUGUAAAGAACCUUCUGAUCAAGAAGCAUGAAUAAGUGCAUCAGGGCACGUGAAAUGAAGAACCAGGAACUCUACUUCCUCUCUACCCACACAACUUCCUCUGUGGGUUCUUUACUUUCAACCUCAAAUUCAUCCUGCAGCAAGUAAACAUAUAACAUCUCCAUUAUCAGGAAAGUAAAUGAACAAAGUGAUCAAAUAACAUCUCUAAUAAGAAAUUUCGCAACCAUGAUCAAAUUGAAACGAAUUAACGAAGCAUUUGACACAAUAAAAAAAAAAAAUGGAAGAACGAAGCAAGUAGAGAAAAGAGAGAGUCUGGGUCAUCAUAUCAUAAUUUAAUCAAUAUGGUGAAUUUCUUAGCAUCAAUCUAUUUGGACAUCAAAAUCGUCAAAUAAAGUUCCAGUAAACUAAAUUUUAAAGUGGAAAUACAGAUGAAGUAUGAAAAUUGGUAUGUUUUCAAAGUAGAAGCUUAGUCUCACAUUUGAGAACAGAACGAGCCAGCGUAUGGAAGGCAUUCAACACUCUUAUACAAAACUUAAAACCUAAUAAUUUAGUAGCUUCUAUUUCAAUAUAUAGUAACUUGGUAUCAAUUGGAGGAUAAUAUCUACCAAGUCUACCUAGAAGUUUUCACCCAGGCUAUGGGAAUUGUCUACCCCAUUUCAAUUUCGUAGUCUUCAUCUUCGCUGGUUGAAGUAGCUCCUUAACGUGGUGGGUGAAGUUCUCUCUCUACAAGAACGUUUGGCGUCGAGGUCGGAGUCGAGAAUGGAGGUUUAUCAUGGGUUUUCUAAUUCAGGGGUUUCCGAUUUGGGGUUUCUAAUUAUUACAGUAGUGA